rnacentral:lncRNA from 1 species
GGGUCCCCUAUAGGGUUCAUCCCACCCCCACAAUGGAAAGGGGCCAAGGUACCUUCCAUACGGCCCUAUAGGAGCCUGGGGUCCCCUAUAGGGUCAUCCCCCCCCACAAUGGAAGGGAGAUUCCUAUGGGGGGGGGCAGCACCUCCAUACGGCCCUAUAGGAGCCUGGGGGUCCCCUAUAGGGUCAUCCAUCCCCCCCAAUGGAAGGGGCCAGCAGCUCUAUCCGGCCCUAUAAGAGCCUUGGGGUCCCCCUUUUAGGGUCAU